rnacentral:rRNA from 1 species
CAGUCGCCGCGGGAAUACGUAGGUGGCAAGCGUUGUCCGGAAUUAUUGGGCGUAAAGCGCGCGCAGGUGGUUUAAUAAGUCUGAUGUGAAAGCCCACGGCUCAACCGUGAAGGGUCAUUGGAAACUGUUAAACUUGAGUGCAGGAGAGAGAAGUGGAAUUCCUAGUGUAGCGGUGAAAUGCGUAGAGAUUAGGAGGAACACCAGUGGCGAAGGCGGCUUUUUGGCCUGUAACUGACACUGAGGCGCGAAAGCGUGGGGAGCGAACAGGAUUAGAGACCCGCGUAGUCCCUGUCUCUUAUAC